CUGAGCCCCUGUGGCUACUCCUGUGGGCAGCCUGAGCACUCAGGACCCUGGACACAGGUCACAAGUGCCCUCACAUGGGACCAAAACUCUCAGAAAUGUUCUGUCAGUGGGAUCAGCACAGCACCUGCCCAUGGGGGAGGCCUGCCCAGCCUCCACAGCUACAGCUGGCCUGGGGCUCUCCCGGUCACUGGAGCGAGAAACUGGGGGAGUGCAGGGAGCCUCCAUGGAUCAAGAAGAAAAUGACUUAAACCCAGUUCCAGAACUAGAUAGCUGAUGGAAACCUCCAUUCCUCAUCCCAGGACUGAAGCUGGCCCCCGCCUGGGCACUUGGCGAGGAAGCUGGAUGACCCUCUGCAGCACAGCCAGGCUCAGAUGCCCUUUGUGGAAGUGUUCCAUACAAAAUGUGUUCGCUGCUUUUCUCUUAGUUGAAAAUCCAGAGGACAGCUUACUCACUGCUGUUGCAGAAUUUGUCUGCAUGCUAGCCCAGUCCCCAUCUGCAAGAGUGGCCUGAAAUUGCCUUCUGAAAAGUUCCAUGGGGGCCCUCCUGAGAAGGGUGGGGAGGGAGUCUGAGACAAGGCAGAUGGCCAUGGAUAUGUCCUUCUGGUGGGGUCUGGAGUGGCCUGCUCUGCUGCCACCUUGCAUGAAGGUAAGGAAGGGAGUCUGCGACAGGUAGGAGCAACUGGAAUAAGGGGUGAUUUUUCACAGCUGCCUCCAGCUCUGCAUUUCUGCUAUGCAGCAGCAUGGGGAGCAUCUGCUGGCUACUGUCCCUCCCAGCAUAUGUCCAGCGGCAGCAGCAGCAACAUUGACUGCAGGCCUCUUGGCCAGGCAGGGCUGUGAGUGGCUGUUCUGCAGGGGAGGUGAAGGAUGGAGUCCUCUGGUUCUCCAGUGGAUGGUACACGGGAAGGGAAGGGAGUAAGGGAGGGGAGUGCGUCAGUCUGAACUGAGGUUGCAGGACAGACCCACAGGGUGCCAGGUAGCUCAAUGACUUGUAUCCCAUAGGCCCAGGGUUGUGGGUGCCAGGAAUUCUGAUCCCUGGUUACAGGGGUCGGGGAAGAGAUCCAGACCUGUCCCAAGCAGGCUGUCUCUCUCCACUGCACACCUGCAGCAGGUGGGCGCAGGUGCCUUCUUCUGCUCUCCCAACACUCAGGUCUGGCCUUGGGCAGAUGCACAAUCUAGGAGGGCUGCUUCUACCUCCAGAGGCAGCAUCUAGGGAGCCCCACGUGGAGGGUGCCUGCCACCUCUGGGUUCACCUGAGGCCCAGGGACAGCUAGGCACUCACCCUUUGGUCCACCCUCCCAAUGUCCUGCUUGUCCCUCCAUCCCUCUGUCCUCCACAGCUGGGAACCACUCACUGGGUAACACUGGAGGCAAAGGUGGCCCAGCCCAGAAAGCCUUUUCUAUUUUUCUUUAAGCUGCAUCUGAAGCGGUUACUCUGUGAGGGCUAACACUGGGUGACAAACAGCCCUCACCCUCGGGGCCUCCACACUGUGCUGGGGAUCUAGCAGGGUGUGUGGGGAGGUCUGGUGAUGUUUUCCUCUGCAUGUCCUUGACAGCUAGGGAGUCAAAGACCCUUUCAGGGCCCACUGGCCACUGUUCAGCCUCCUCCCCUCAGACCUUGUUAGCUGCAUCUCACACAUUUUGGCUGACAUUUUGAUUACUGUUUGGCAUGUUUUCUGAUUUCCUUGUGAUUUCUUCUUUGACCCAUGAUGCCUAUCUAGCAUCAUCUUGUUGAUCUGGAGAUUCUGUGAAUGACCUGUCGUUAAUUCCACUUUGCCCAGGGAAUGAGUGCAGCAUCUCGCUCCCGAAAUGGAGAUGUGCUCUUCUGGCCUGACACAGGCUGUGUCCUGCCUGAUGCAUGUUCCUCAUGCACUUAAGAUCUGCAUUCUCUGAAGCUGGAGGAAGUGCUUUCCAGAUCUUCUGACUUGCUGAGUCUCAUGUGCUUGUCUAGCCAGUAACCGAGAGGUGGUGACCACCGACUGUGACUGAGUCUAGUUUUCAUUUCUGUUCAGUUCUAUUUUUACUUCAUACAUUUUGCAGCUGUUAUGAGAUUCUUCAGUACUGAGAGUUCUGUGUUUUCCUGACAAGCUGGCCCUUUGCCACGGUGGAAGGGCCUCUCUGUCUCUGGGAAUGUGCCCUGGCUGGAUGUCAGUGCUCCUCCGCUGGUGCCUGUGCGGCCUCCCUGGCUUACACAGCCCUGGUGCGCGGCCUUCUGAGUGAGAUCCUGGAGAUGCAGGCAGCUGGCUUUUCCUGCCUUUUGUUUGAGAUGUGUCUACUUCCAUUUCACGUAGUUAUGGACACAGUUCACUUUGAACCCUGAUUUGUCUUUAUUUGUCUUGGUUCUUUGUUCCUGUGUUCCUCCAUCCCUGCCUUUUCUGGGUCAGCUGACUGUUUUUUAGACUGUUGAGCAUUGCUGAUCUUGAAAUCUGAAUUCCGAAGCCUUCUAGUGCUGAUGUGACACCAAGUGGAAGAGGCCACCACGCGGAUCUGUUUCCUGCACAAGACGACUACCAAUGUGGAGCAAGGUCACCUGAGCCCAUAAAGUAUAUGAAACACAAAGCCAUCUUGUUUUGACUUGGAUCCCAACCACAAGACCUCUCAUCAUGUGUGUGAAGAUUCCAAAAUCUGAAAAAGCUUUCAGUCCACACUAUUUCUGGUCCUAAUCACCGUGUACCUCAUUUACUCCUCUAUUGGCCUUUUACUUAAACUUCUUGGUGUUACCCUUCUGGGAAGUUUUUCUAGGGCUACACAUGCAUCUGGAUCCACGACUUUGUAGAAGAUGUGGGGACUUUCCACAGGACACUUGCACUGCCCCCUUUGCUGUUGCCCUCUGACUCCCCAGAGCCUGUGAACUCCACUUUUACUUAAACACUCCCCUUGCCUUUUACAGAAGCCAGGGGUUGCCUUGGGUCCUUAAGCUGGGACGUCGCCAGUGUACAUGUUUUCUUGGUGACAAGGCCAGGGAAGCCAGCAGAAGAGGCAGGCUGGGGGUGGCCCCUCCCCUGCAGCGGGAGCCAGGGCGCCUCGCCCUGCUUCCCUAGGCUUCCUUGGCUCCUUCACCAUAUUUCUCUUCUUUGGGUUGGAAACUUCCUGUCCAUCUGCCGUGUUCGCUAGCCAUUUCCUCUCGCUCCUAGGCAUUGUGCCCUUAGGUUCCAGAAGUCCACGGGGUUCCUCCAGUUUCCAUUUUGGGUCCUAUGCGCUGGGAGGUCCCUCGGAACCCAGGACCUGAAUGGCCGGCUUCCGUGGGCGUGGCCCUUGUGUGGGCGUGGCCAGACGCUUGGAACUGGAGGCUGCUAGGCAAGUCCUUGUAGCUCUACAAGGCUGCCAGGUUUUGUUUGGGACUAAAACACCCAGGGCUCACUUCAGGGGAGCUGGGCUGCGUAAAAUAACCACACAAGAGACACAAAUACCUUUUUCUUUGGGGUUGCUGUGAUGGCUCCUCUGACCUUAAGGGUCUGCAGAGAGAGAGAGAGAGAGAGAGAGCACCCACACAUGCUGACCCCUUUUAUUGAGGAGAUGCUAUUCAAAUUAGGCAAGGGGUCAGGUUUCAGGGGGCUGAGUCUAUCUUCAUGAUGUCCACUGUCAGCAGGUUGACUGACAUUUAGGUAGGCCACACUCAAGGGCACAGUAAGAUAAAGGGACACACAAAAGGCACUUCCAUGGAACAUUCUAUCCCAAACACGGGCAAGGGGUAAUAUUACAAAGGAACAGGUGAGCAUAGCUCCACCCAUGGGGCGGUAAGAAGGCACACCCAUGUACAAGACACUGGUCCCUCAAACCCAAGAAGGACGGGGCAUCUAGAGGUGUGCUGCUGCCUGAGGCCUCAAUCACCCAGCCGGGGAGUGACUCAGUCCCAUGCAAGGUGGGUCCCCACACAAGGCCUUACCUGGACCUGCAGGGCACAUGGGGGUUGCUUCCUCGGGCGUGGCUUUCAGGGCAGUCUCUGCUGCUGCUUUGCAGGCUCGCUACUGUCCUAAGAACCAGCAUCUUGGCAGACGCUUGUGAUGCUCUCCCGCCCCUUGGGGUGCCGUAUGCAGGAGCAGCAGAAAGCUGGGAUGUGGCUCACAGGCCCCGUCAUCACCAGUGGCCAAGAACCACUGCCCCUGCAUCUGAGCUCCUCUCCCCCACUGCCCCCAUUUGGCAGCCAGCCGAGUGGACGUGCUUGCUCCCAGGCUGUGAUGGUAAAAGCCGGCAGCUUGCUAGUGCCCUGACAGCAGAAAAAUGGCCAUGAGUAUACACGUGGAAAUGCUGUAGACCAAGCACACGUGGCUUCUGCGCAGAGGCACAGAGUAAUCCAGCUUCCGCCAUCGGGGUGGGCAUGCGGCUCAGGCCCCCACAUUACUGCUGAUUCAAGAGCCGCUGGGAGAGGAAUGCACACUGCUUCUCUGUGUUCUUCCCACAGUGCAUUCAGCAUAUCCCUUUGUGUGGCUUUCCCAGCCAGCUCUGCUCCUGGGCAAUGAUUCUGAGCAUGUCCUUCAUAGCUGCAUCCUAAGCAGUACAGACCUAAUGAUCAAGCAGAUGAGGGUUGGUGAUUUAGCAUGUUCCAACUGCAGGCGCAAGCUGUUGGGGUGUGUGGAGGAAGGGCUGGUCUUCGAUGAAUAGACCUUCAGAGAGGCUGGGCAGAGUACCCUCUAUAUGGUCAAGAGCAAUCUCCAUGCCAGGACUUCUCCAGCAUUCCCUGGGGGUCUUGGCUUUGGGUCGCCUAUGUCCUGCUGUACAUAUGACGUGCUUGACCUCUUGUCCCAUAGAUCUGGCUGCUCCAAGAAGGGUGUAGUAUCCUCCCCUCCCAGGGGUGUCCUCAUGUAAAGCUCAUGACAGGUCCCGAAUUGGAGGCCAAGCCCUGUUGACUCAGAGUUGGCCUGAGGAAGGAGGAGGACGGAGCUCUGUUGUCUGCUCUUCACAGGGCAGUGCCACAGAAUCCCCUGCCACCAGUCUGGCUUGAGAAACUCCAAAGUCCUCCCUAAAUAUUCACCCCUCAGCCCCCUGUGCAGUGCGUCUAGUGUUCUCAGUGCUGUGGGACCUCAAGAUCUCCACCUAACUUGGUUCCAGUUCUUGUUUUUCAUAUGGACCCUGUAGGCCUGGUCACCUCCCUCAUGUUCCUUUGCCAGCCAGGGGGUUGGUGUGGCUCCAUUCUCUGCUAUGGAGGCUGGAGUGCAAGCUGGGGAAGAAGAGAGGCGUGGGGAUAUGGCUGCAUCCCCUACCCCACCACAGGUGCCCCUGCUUCUUCAGUGCCCCCACUAACCCGCUGUGCCCUCCUGUGCAAGUUCAGCCUCAGCACCCCCUCCUCAGAGCACCUUGCCCUCCCUCUGCUUCCUGACUCUUCCAGCUCUCUUCCUGAAAUCUCGAGCGCAUCCCGGGGCCGCACACCUGGGUGACUCUCAAUAAUGGCUAUUCUUACUUCCCUGGAGACCAGAAGCCUACUCUCGGGGUGCUGGUAGGGCUAGCUCCUUCCAGGUCCAAGGAGAACCUGCCCAGGCUCUGCUCCCUAAGGAGGUGCCACUAGUGGGGACACCAGUGAUUGGCAGGUAGACUUGCCUCUUGAAGUCUGCCCUGCCUACGGCCCUUAUCAUCACCUGUCAUUGCAUCUAGGGUCCAACCCAAUCCAGAACACUGUCUUCUUGAGAACUGUCAUUACAUCACAAAGGCCCUCACUCCAAAUAAGGCCAUGUUCAUGGGCUCCCCAUGGACACAGCCUCUCUUCUGGGGACCACCAUUUAACCUUCUGGGUGCUCAUGAUAGAUGGCCUAGCUUUAGAGAGCUAUGGGGGACCCCUGGCUCUGCUCCCCAGGGGAGGGGCUUCUGCUCUGGGCUGUGUGGCUGCUGGGCUGGAGGCUGGCCCUGCUGUGCCCUUCCAGGUCCUGUUGGCUCAGGCAGGCCACUUCCUCACUGCCCCUCACUGGCCUUGUCUCACAUCCGUGUCCUUCAUUCUGGGCAAAUGGCAGCAUGUUCUGGGUGGCCUGGUGUGUGGGCCAUCCUGUCUGGGCCUGCUCCCCUGGGUGUGGGCCCUCUGUUUCCAGAGGUCUCUCUGGGGGUGAGUGGGAGCAGGGAAGUGGACCCCUGGUGCACAUGUGUCUUGCAGCACCUCAGGCUGUCUGCCAGAUACCACUUUUGGACUGUGCUGUGGUAUUUUCUAGAACUGGGAGUGCUCUGAGCCCUGGCACAUGUUGGGCAAGGGACUAUGGUGCCCCUUUCUUCUCAAAAAGGUGGAUGCUGAGGUCCAGAGUGGAGGAUGUGGCCAGCCCCAGGGCAGUUGCCCUUGAGAGUCUGUCCUCUCAUCCCCACCUGGUCCAGUGCAGGAUUCUAGGUUAUAUUUAAAUACCAACGGUAUUGAAUUUGGCAAAGUUUAGUGGAAGUUACGGAAAUCCUCUGAAAGAUUUAUCAGAAGGAAAUCAGGAGCAGGCUACCGUGGUCCUGUGGUUCAAAACUAAACAGGAGGCAUGAAAAGUGAUGUCUAGUUUAGAAAAGCAUGAGCAGGACUGGGUGGGGGGUAGUGGGGGCCCCUGUAGUCCUGCGUAACCACCAGUGUCCUCUGCUGUGUGUGGCAGCUUGGAGCCAGUGCCCUGAGGGAGAACUGGGGCAAGAACAUAGUGACCAAUGAGCGAGGGGCAAGAAUGCCACAAAACAGAGGGGAGAGCCCUGUCUCCUCCAAGCUCUGUCCCAGUCCCCAUAGGAGUUCCCACCCAGCAGUGCCCGGGGGACCCCACUCGUCUCCUCCCUCCUUCUUGCCUCUGCUGGUCCUGAAAGCUUCAGCUACUAUGAGCAGCUUCCUCAGACAGAGACGUCCUCUCUGGUCUUUCUGUCCUCACCAGUGUUACUGCUGUUUACCGGUGACGAGUUCUUGCUUCCCCAAUGCUGAAGAUAACACCAGAGAAGCAAGCCGAGGCAAGGUCAGAGUGGAAAGUAAAGCUUUAUUAAAGGGCAGCAGAAAAUUUUUCUCCCCGGAGGAAGAAGGGGACCAAGAGGUGGAAUCCGUGGAAGGGGGAGGUCUUCCCUUUUUUUAUAGCUAAGGUCUUCUUUCAGCUUCCUGCAUUCCUGUCACACUCCUGUCCUUUGUUCUGUCAUCUUGCAGUGAUGGAAUGUAGGUGGGAAGGAGUAAUCUGGGCAGGGAGGGCUUUUGGGUUGCAUCUCCCUGUUUGCUGGGAGCUGCUUCAUUAACAUUUCCUUGGGAUAGGCUCUGGGCCUUGGGGACUUUUUCAACUCCCCCUUUCCUGGACUCCAUUCUCAACAUGGCCUUCAUUCCUGAUUUUACUCCAUAUUAGACCCGAUUUACCUAACUACACUAGCUCCCUAUCUGUAAGUCUGGCUUCACCAUCUCCGAGACCAGGACUGCCUUUCUCUGUGCCUUGCUGCCCUCCUGUUAUCACUGGAUAAGGUCCACAAAAGUUCAGAGGGAGAAGGAGACCUUGACUUGACCCUGAUAGUCCUGGCUUUCACCACAGAAGGAAACAUCAGGACCUGUCAGAGAGGCACAAACAGCAGGACCAAGCAGGACAUGUGCAGAGGGAGACCUGCAGGCCCCCCAGAGGGAGGUGUGCUUUUGGGGCCCAGGUCAUGAGAAGUGCUGGGGAGACAUUGGCUGGGGAGUUUCACUCUGCUAAUCACAGGAGUCAUGUGGGGUCAUGGUGGUCUGGCUCUUUCAGGGUCUCUAGGUCAGGGUCACCCAGUCCUCGUAAUCCUUGUUGUCCAACACUGCCUGUGUUUGGAGCACAGCCCAUCCCAGUCUCUAAGGACACCUGCCUCUGCUCUGUCAUCUAACGGAGACUCCAGGUGAGCUGCAUUGCUCAGGGUUGGCCACCGAGCUUGUUUGCUCCUGGCCUCUGGGUGUUAUGCUCGAAUUUGGGACCCCCAAAAGACCACCAGAGACCAAGAUCGAUGUAAGCAGCAAAGAGGUGUUUAUUGCAAGCUAGCUCGGUCCUCCAUUCGCACACAGCAACUGGUGACUCUGAGAGGCCCCGAGCCCAGGGUUUGCAGCAGUUUUAUACAUUCUUUGGGGGAAGGCAGGGACCCCCACAUACAUCAUAGCAUCUCUUAGCAAAUCAUCACACACCACAGGAAAAUCAAAUAACAACUCUAAAACAUGAUUAGUGUAUCAAGUGGCGGGAAAGAAUCUGGAAAGGAUUAUUGGUUAGUUCAAGGGGUUGACGCACUUAAAAAUGAUUGGUUUAAACCAUGAGGGUGUCACAAGGGGGGUAGUGCCAAGCUGCAGGGCUUCUAGUUUAGAUAUUGGUCACCACACCUAGGUGGGGCCAUCUGGAAUUUCAGAUAUUUCGAUAUCUUGCUUGUCUUAGGUGAUCACCAUCUGCGGCUUUCCCGAGAACUCUUUCCACAGAGCUUUUCUGUGGUAUUUUCCUGACUUUAGGACUGCAGUAAGUCAGGGGUUAAGUUUCAGAGCAAAAUGAGGACCCAAGUAGAAUGAGGAUGCUUAGGUCUUUCACGGGCUCUCAGGAGCUCAGCCCUGGAGGGGAUGAGCUGGGAACAGACGUAGUGUUCGAGGGGCUUGUGGGUCCGAAGCCAUGGUUCCCUUCCCUUCCUGGGUCUCCUGCUUGCCUGUCACACAGGUGGUAGGAGGAGGAAUGGAAAUGUCACCCAGCUCAUAUCUGGAGCCUUCAGAACACCCUUCUCACCUGUGGUGAAUCACACAGGCCAGGAGGAAGGAGACUCUGGGCUUGGCCCUGCCCCACACUUGGCCUAGGGUUUCUCUCUCUUCACUCCCUCCCUGAGGUGUCCCGUCCACCCCCUGCCUCUGGUCUCCUUCACUGAUCUCUCUUCUUCAUGAGCAGCCAGGGCACCUGCUGGGCUUCCCAAGGACUUUCAGCAGGAGGAUGCGAGGAACCAUCUAGUGCUCCUGGGAUUUGGACUUCUGCCAUCAAGGCAAAGGUGUUUGUGCAAUCAGAGAGGAACAUGACCAUGAGGGACAGUCAGGGUGUGGCUGUUCUGGAAGAUUCCCACAGCCUAAUAACAAGGACUGCUGCAAGAGUCUGUCUUCACCAGGAGAAGUCCAGCCUGACUCCGGAGUUGGUGCCAGCAGCAGUGGUGCUCGGAGUACUUCAGGUGGCAGCUGGCUCUGCAGGGUCUAUGACUUCCACUGUGAGCUGACUUUGGGGCUAUCAUCUGCCUCAUUUCCUCAUGUGCCUGUCAAGAUGGCUGCGGAGACCUGGGAUCCUGAUCUUGGACUUCCCCACGGUCCUCCCCAUUGGUUUCACCAGGUUUCUCUCCUCUCACCUGGCUUGUCAAGUACCUGAGUCUGGAGCCGGAUUCCACACCCACCUUUCUGGACAUCCAUGCUUGUCCAUCUGGGACAUCAUGGUCAGUUCUACAAACACCCACUGGAGACAGCAUGGCCUGCCCGGAUCUCACGUGGAACAGAGGGUACUUGGUUAUUGGUGCUGACAUUUUUCUCCAGGUAAUUCUUUGGGGAGUUCAUUUGGGGAGUUGUGUCUCAUUUUUUUUUCUUUGUCAACAUGACCAGAAGCCUUUAAGACUGCAGGGACAGUGGGAGACCCCAGGAGCAGCCCAGCAGCAUCCCCAGCCCCAGUUUCUAUCCCCAAGGACUGGACCCAGUGUGGGGCUGAAUGACCCAUGCCUUCCAUCCUGAAGCAAGAGGCUCUGAGGAUCACUACAUUUUGUGAUGCUUGAUUGUUGUCCCAGCCCAGGAAGUAGAAGGCGUGUCCAGGAGCUAUGCUCACCUAUUUCUUUGUAAUCCUACCCCUUUGCCCUGUUUGGGAUAGAAAGUUCCAUGGAAAUACCCUUUGUGCGUCCCCUUCUCUUGCUCUGCCCUUGGGUGUGGCCUCCCUAGAUGUCAGUCAACCUGCUGACAGCAGACAUCAUGAAGCUAGACUCAGUCCCCCGAAACCUGACCCCUUGCCUCAUUUGAAUGGCUUUGCCUCAGUAAAAGGGUUCGGCAAGUGCCCUCUCUUUUUCCAUGGACCUCUAAGGUCAGAGGAGCUGUCACAGGACCCAAAGAACAAGGCAUUUCUCUG
rnacentral:lncRNA from 1 species